CUGGGUUUCUUCUGCAUCUUGGUGUGCUGAUGCGGUGCCCAUUUUUAAAGAACAUUACAUUAGUUGGGUUCCUGCCUGGAAUAGGGUGUGUUGGAGGCCUGAGGGAUGAGCUUUUUGACUUUACGGCAGGAACACACUUGUGAAGGAAAGUAUGUACCCGUGAUAAGAUCAGUGCCUGCUGCUGGGAAGAGGGAACCUCGGGCCAGUUGGGGAGAUGGAGAGAGGCCCGGGGCCUUCGCCAUGUCUCUCUUUUCCUCCCAUUUCCUCCCCCUUCUCUGUUGGUCUUUCUCCAACAAGCUCUCCAGCACUAGCGUCUGUAUCAGGCACCAGAGCACAGAAAUGUUCUCAUCUUAGCUGAUAAGUUCCGAUACGUAAGAGCUAAUUCUCUUCGAUUCUCUCUCUCUCUCUCUCUCUCUCUCUCUCUCACACACACACACACACACACACACACACACAGCCUUAUGUCGUAUAUUCCAAGCCUACUUGGAACUCAAGGAUGGCCUUGAAUUUCUGACCUUCCCUUUACAUACUGAGAUUAAAGGCUUGUGCUAUCAUGCCUGGUUUACGUGUUGAUCGGGUUUGAACCUAGCGCUUCACGUGUGCCAGGCAAGCAUUCUUUGGUUGAACUACAUCUACAGCCUCAAUCACCAUUGUGUUAGAGCUAUAUGGGAAGGAUGAGACAAGAGUACGUGAACAGCGGCCUUGGAAGGUGGAGGCCGGUGGAUCUGGACUUCAAGGAACUCGAGUUUGCCACGUUUGCCUUUGAGCUGCCCAGACAUCCUUUUGUCUGCCUUUUCCCCCCUCUCGAUUGCUUCAGCACUUUGCAGAUGCAAUUGACAAGCUGGUCUACGUUACUCAGGUCGGCUAUUCAUAGACAGCUGAACAAAGGACCAUCAGGCAUCCUUAAAGCUCCCAUGAGCCAGGCCACAGGGACUGCUAGCCCUCUUACUGCCUCAGGACAUCAGCUUCGGCACUCAGUCUGACCUUGCCCACCCUCACGGGCCGCAACCACCAUCAGGGUGUCAGAGGCUCUUCCUUUGCUUCCUCAAGUCAUUCCCUGUUCAAUUGGUUCAGAUGCUGCGUGUCCCCUGAUCGUCACACUGUCUCGUAGUAGACCAUUAUUAAGGCCCCCGACUGCAUGUCAAACCAUGGAUUUCCCUAUGUCUGUAUUAAAAGCUGGACCUGAAGGGCAUCUUCUAUCAUGUCUGCCCUCCUUCCUACCUCUUCACUGUCCAGUUCUCCCCUUGAGUCCCAAGUCUUCGGAUCCAGGCAGGGCUGUUGAGCGCAGAUCUCAUUCAUCUGUGCUCUCAUUUCCUCGCCUCUUGCCAACUGUAUGAAGGGCAAGCCAACAGCUCCAUCUCAUCCCAGAAAAGGAUUUCCUGCCAAACCAGAGCCUCAUGCAUCAGGCAGCAUCCAGUGUCCUUUUUUGCCUUGUCAUCCCGCCCUUGGGUGGGCAAGUUCUUUCUGGGGAGAGAGCUGAACUUGAGUUGCAUGUGGGUGACCACAAGAAAGGGCACAUAGCGAACACCGCAGUCUGAUUACCCCGUAAGCGCUCCUUUCAGAGAGUGCAAUGCGGUCUCCAGUUCAGCAGCAGGUUUGGAGGCAUCUCAGGGUUGCAUGGUGACAUCAUUCAUCAUUCCACCUCACACUAAGUAAAAGAAGAUAGCCGUCGUGGGGUUUCCCCCAAUGACACUGUACUCUCAGGUGGGGUAGAUGGGGUUGCAUGUCCUACAGCUCACUGCAGGAAGCAUGCAAGCUCUCCUACAGCAAGGAGGCAUGCCGUCCCGUGCCGCAUGGGGAAAGGCAGUCCUAUUGAUAGUGCGCAUCCCCAGAUGCUCCACUUCCGCAUGGAUCAGCCUCAUCUGCAUGUCCCAGAACCCACUGCAGGAACCACGCGGCUGCUCCUCCCCGGCUCAUCUCUGGCUUUCUUGGUCUCUGCUCAGGUGCCAAUUAUUCAGUGUGACUCUUCUGGGAAGAUCUGAACAAACACCUUUUUCUUCCAGACUGGGCACCAACGAUAGAUCGAGAAACAAUGUCACCUAAGUCUACUUUAGUGAACCAGUGAGUUCAUGGGAGUGUCUGACUCAAAGAUAGCU